AACGCUGGCGGCAUGCCUAAUACAUGCAAGUCGAACGAGAGUAGCAAUACUCUAGUGGCGAACGGGUGAGUAACACGUAGGAAACCUACCUCAAAGACGAGGAUAACUACUGGAAACGGUAGCUAAAACUGGAUAGGAUAUACAAAGGCAUCUUAGUAUAUUUAAAAGUCCUUCUGGGAAUGCUAUGAGAUGGUCCUGCGGCGCAUUAGCUAGUUGGUGAGGUAAAGGCCCACCAAGGCGACGAUGCGUAGCUGUGCUGAGAGGCAAAACAGCCACACUGGGACUGAGACACGGCCCAGACUCCUACGGGAGGCAGCAGUAGGGAAUUUUCGGCAAUGGGCGAAAGCCUGACCGAGCAAUGCCGCGUGAAUGAAGAAAUUCUUCGGAAUGUAAAAUUCUGUGGUGAGGGAAGAAAGGUAUUAGAAGGAAAUGGCUAAUAUUUGACGGUACCUUACUAGAAAGCCCCGGCUAACUAUGUGCCAGCAGCCGCGGUAAUACAUAGGGGGCAAGCGUUAUCCGGAAUUAUUGGGCGUAAAGCGUGCGUAGGCGGCCACUUAAGUCUGUCGUGAAAGCCCACAGCUUAACUGUGGAGGGUCGAUGGAAACUGAGAGGCUUGAAUCUAGGAGAGGUAAGUGGAAUUCCAUGUGUAGCGGUAAAAUGCUUAGAUAUAUGGAGGAACACCAGUGGCGAAGGCGGCUUACUGGUCUAGAAUUGACGCUGAUGCACGAAAGCGUGGGUAGCAAACAGGAUUAGAUACCCUGGUAGUCCACGCCGUAAACGAUGAGCACUAAGUGUCGGACGUAAGUUCGGUGCUGAAGUUAACGCAUUAAGUGCUCCGCCUGGGGAGUACGGUCGCAAGACUGAAACUCAAAGGAAUUGACGGGGACUCGCACAAGCGGUGGAGCAUGUGGUUUAAUUCGACGCAACGCGAAAAACCUUACCAGGCCUUGACAUACCGAUGACGUCUUUAGAGAUAGAGAGUUACCUUCGGGUACAUCGGAUACAGGUGGUGCAUGGUUGUCGUCAGCUCGU
rnacentral:rRNA from 1 species